UAAUAGAAUCAUAAUCACAGAGAGAAGAGAGGGAAGAGAGAUGAAGGAAUACCAGCUUCAAACUCCAAAGAAGGAACAUCAACGCUCAAAAAUUCGCAGAUCCAAGUCCAUCUCCGAACACUCUAAGAAGCCGCACAGAGUAUAAUCAAAACCCUAGCUAUCAGCCAAAAAUGCUUGAAUUCUGUAUUUACAUCGGUUUCAGAGGACUUGGUCGAGUUUUCUUCUAUCUCAGAGAUUUCCGAGGAUAAUCAACUCCGUGAAUCCGCAGAGAGCUUCAUCGCAUCACCGAAUCAGGUGAUUUCGCCUUCAUUGGAGACGUUUUCUCUAUCGGAUCUCACUCCAUUGUCGUCCACUAUCACUGUGGACAAGGAUGAAGUAGUUGAUGUCUCAGUCGGUCAUUGCAGAUCUGCCAAAUCCAAAAAGAGUGUGGACAUUGUCUCUGUGGAGGCAGAGGUGGUGGUGAAUCAUCUCAAACAAGCUCGAAUUCAAGUUAUGAAUUCAACGAGUGCUGAUCUCCAAUCUAAGAAGCUUUUGAAUGCAUUAAUUGAGGUAGUCAUCGAGGAAUUCAAUGCUUUGCCUGAAGAGAAAGAUCGGUUAAGUGAACUUGUUUCCAUGAAAACUCGAGUUGUGUUUAUGAUUUUCUUGCUGUGGAUCGUUGCUGUCUCGAUGUUUCUUCACUUCAGUUCUCGGGGACAAAGCUCCUUCAGUGAACCUCCACCAACAUGACAUCUAGUGUGGUGGUCCAUCAUAAGUUGCUCGUCACCGAGAUGGUAAGAUUUUUUUCUUGUUCAGCUUACUUGGUUUCGUUUUCUCACCUCAAAAUAUGCUGCUAAGUUUGGGUAAACUGGUAAACUACUGCCUGACUUUGACAUUGCUUUUACACUAGGAUUUUGCUCAACAUUUGACAUCUCUAUGCUAUAAAUUGACAGUGUUCUAUUGGUAAAAUAGAUAAUUCAUCUGAGUUUGUUGGAUCAA